rfam:Ailuropoda melanoleuca scaffold240_23, whole genome shotgun sequence.
ACCUGGCUGGCUCAGUAGGUAGAGUGAGUGACUCUUGAUCUCAGGGUUGUGAGUUCAAGCCCCAAGCUGGGUA